rnacentral:rRNA from 1 species
GAAUCUGCCUUCGGGUCUGGGAUAACAGUUGGAAACGACUGCUAAUACCGGAUGUGCCUACGGGUGAAAGAUUUAUUGCCAGAAGAUGAGCUCGCGUCUGAUUAGCUAGUUGGUAGGGUAAAAGCCUACCAAGGCUACGAUCAGUAGCUGGUCUGAGAGGAUGAGCAGCCACACUGGGACUGAGACACGGCCCAGACUCCUACGGGAGGCAGCAGUGGGGAAUUUUCCGCAAUGGGCGAAAGCCUGACGGAGCAAGACCGCNUGAGGGAGGAAGGCCUUUGGGUUGUAAACCUCUUUUGUCAGGGAAGAACACAAUGACGGUACCUGACGAAUCAGCCUCGGCUAACUCCGUGCCAGCAGCCGCGGUAAUACGGAGGAGGCAAGCGUUAUCCGGAAUCAUUGGGCGUAAAGCGUCCGUAGGUGGCCAAGUAAGUCUGCUGUCAAAGACCACAGCUUAACUGUGGAAAGGCAGUGGAAACUGCCGGGCUAGAGUACGGUAGGGGUAGAGGGAAUUCCAGGUGUAGCGGUGAAAUGCGUAGAGCUCUGGAAGAACACCGGUGGCGAAAGCGCUCUACUGGGCCGUAACUGACACUGAGGGACGAAAG